GAUUGUGGUCUAGCGGUUAGAACGCUGGCCUUGUAAUCCUGGGGUCUCGGGUUCGAUUCCCGGCGGUC
rnacentral:tRNA from 1 species